GGUCUAUCAAAAAUCAAAAUAUCAUUAUAUCACAAUAUAAUAUUAAUAAUAUAUUAUAAUCAUCAAAAAUAAUAAAUGUCAAAUUAUUUUACUCAAGAAAUAUACUCAAGUAAUUAAUGAUACCAAACUUCAAUUUGCACUUUUGCAGCGAUCGUAGCCCUUAGGUGAAAAUGGAAAACGUACAGCAAAGUUCCAAUGGAUCUAGUUUCAAUGAUUACAACGAUGUCAAUUUGACCAUACGGAUUCUAUUUCAUGGCAGAGAAGUAGGAAAUGUGAUUGGUAAAGGAGGUGAAACUGUCAAAAAUAUAAGAGACCAGUCUGGUGCUAGAGUUUUAAUCUCUGAUGGUUCAACUCCAGAACGUAUUGUGACUAUUACUGGAACUACAAAUGCAAUUUGUAAAGCUACUGAACUUAUUGGACUAAAAGUCGAAGAAUUUUUUGAGAGACAAAAUGGCGAUUGGAAUGGCCCAAAAGCACCUUUGACUUUUAAGCUAAUUGUACCAGCAUCUCAAUGUGGUUUCAUAAUUGGUAAAGGUGGAUGUAAAAUAAAAGAAAUUAGAGAAUCAAGUGGAGCUGCCAUACAAGUAGCAUCAGACAUGUUACCCAAUUCAACUGAACGUCUAGUUUCAAUCACUGGUACUACGGGAACAAUAUCUCAAUGUGUUUAUCAAGUGUGCAAUGUACUAUUAGAUUCGCCUCCACGUAGUGCAACAAUCCCUUAUGAUCCUCGUAGUAAAACUUCAGGAUUUGCUAGCAGUGCAGUUGGUAAUGAUUUUGGAAGACAACGCACUAAUCCUUUGGCCAGUCUUGCAGCUCUUGGGUUAGGAACUGCAUCAACUGGAGGUAUCAAUCCAGCUGCCUUAGCUGCAUUGGCUGGAAGUCAGUUGAGAACAGGUAAUCGUCAAAACCGAAAUGGUGGUGGGGAACAUAAAAAUCAAAAUUCUAAUUCAAACACUGAGACAAUAUCUAUGACUGUUCCUAAUGAUUUAAUUGGGUGUGUCAUUGGAAGAAGAGGAAGUAAAAUCGCAGAAAUACGACAAAUAAGUGGUGCUUUAGUGCAUAUAGCUAAAGGUGAAGGAACUCAUGAAAAUGGUGAAAAUGAAGAUCGACAUAUAACAAUUACAGGAAACAAAGAUUCUAUUUCAGUUGCCAAGUACUUAAUUGAAAUGAGCGUGGAACUGCAGAAAGCCAAUCUUGAGGGGGCAAACUCAUCCUCUAGUCCUGACGAUGGGUCCAGCUCAACCUUGCCCACUCCUCCAACAGUGGCCGCAUCUCCUUUGUCGUCCGCCAUCCCAUUGGCUCAACUAUUUGCCAAGCCGGGUGCCAUUAAUGCCCUAUCCAGCUUAUCUGCUCUUGGCGGCCUAACCGACCUCUUGGGAGCCUUAUCUGGCGCCAAUCAAUCCCCUCCGAUACAGACCACGGGUGUCCAUCGCCCGAAAAAUUAUUUCCAGAGAAACCGCAGUCCUUCAGGCGAAAAAACCAAAGCGGACAGGACCAAGUUUGCUCCUUACUAAAUGCUAAUUGAUCCCAAAUCCGCCAAUAUUCAUAUUAAUGUUUGGUCCUACCCAUCUUCAAUUCUUUAUUUUUAAGUAGUUUUUUAUUAUUUUAUAAUUUAUUUAACUAUCAUUAAGAAAACUUCUAAUUUAUGAAAGUCUGAAGAAAAUUCUAAAAAAACAUUCUUUUGUUUUUAAAAAAUUUAACAUGUUUGAUUUUCUUUAUGGUUAAACUUCAAACAUUAUAGUUACAAAUCUCUUUCAUGGGUGGAAUUAUUGCAUUUUAAGGUUUUAGUCUAUCAUUUUUAUUUAAUAUAUUUUAUUGUGUCCAAUUUAUAAUAUUUCACUUUUUAGUUUAAAUUGUUUCCAAUCACUACUUAUAGCCUAUAUCUUUAGUUCUUACAUUAUAUUUUUGUAGAUCUUAUUGAUAAUAUAACUUGUAUUCCUUAUUUUAUUUAUUUAUUUCUUAAUUUUUAAAAAAUUAGUAUGAAAUCCAAUAAAUAAAAUCUACUCUGCUUACAUUUGUUGAUAUUAUAUUUUUGUAAUUACAUAAUGUACUUACGGGUUUUCAAAUAUUAAUAAGAUAAUAACUCGUUUUUACUACUUCAUGUAGUGAUGAAAUAACAUAUUUAUGUUUCAGCUUGUCUUUUUAUUAUUUAUAAAAAAAAAAAGUUACUUCAUCGGUAUUAAUAUUUUUUGAAGUAUUAACUUCAUUAUUUAUGAAAUACUUGUAUAACUUAAUUCUUAUAACUUAGUUAAACAGAAUACAUAUAAACAUAUAUUUUAAUUUUUUUAUUUCUAAAGUGUCAUCACUAGCAUUUUGAAAUUUGUCUUGGAUGAAAUUAAAAAUUUGUCCCCUAAUAUAUUUAUUAAAAUAAUUAAGUUAAUUUAAUGCUAAAUUGUUUGAAUAUGUUUGAGGGAGUACUCCUUUCAUAUACUAUCUAGUAUUUUAUAUUGUAUAUUCUAUGUACAAUCAUCAGUUCUAACCGUAUGCUAUAUUUUACUUUACAAUAUUUUUUGUGAUACGUAUAAUAUCAUUAAGUAAAUGCAUAAUUUAUUUUAUUUAACAAUAUAUCGUAUUAUUUGUCAUUGCCUAAAUUACGAGAAAAAAGAUUUUAAGUCUUUAAAUAAUAAUGUCCAUUUGAUAUUUUUAAUUAUCUUAAUUUUGUUUCAUUUUUUAUCAUAUUUCCCCCUCUCCCAUACACACCAUAUUAUACUAUUCUUUUAAUGUUGAAAAACAUUUUCAUUGUUUCUGUAUGUAUAUUACACACAGAUAGUAAAUCUAAAAUUAUGGUAGAUAUCAUAUUGAAUAAGUACUAUUAUGGUGAAUAACCACAAAUCAAUGUUUUUCACUGUUAACAUGAAUACUCUUUUGGUCUAUGUGUUAACAUAAUUAGUGGAGCUUCUAUGCACGUUUUGGUCUGGAGUGAUCUUUUCAAAAAUGUCAUAAAAAUAUUUAAGAAAAUUAGUUCAUGAAAUUAUAUUUAUACGUGUCUAAUACAAAUUGUGGUUCAACUUAACUAAAACAAACUAAUAGUAUAGUCAUUUAUGUCGCAAUUUUAGUUUUUACACAUUAUAUUACAUUAAUUAUAUCGUGAUAUUGUAUUAUUACUUAUUACACAUGUGUACCAUGUGUGCACACUCAUACACAUAUUAUAAUUACAGUUGCACCAUAAUAAUUAUUGAAAUUAUUAAUUAUAUUGUUAUAACAAAUAAUCAAUAAUGCAUAGUAAAGAUUAUCUUGAUAAACUUACCGUUAAGUUUACAUCCCAACUAAAAUUAAUUUUCAAGUUAUUUUUUCACAAGAUAAUUCUGGUUAAAAAAAUUUGUCAGAGACACCUCUAUAGUUUUAAGAAUAUUAAAAAUGAUAAAUCACAUUUUCCAUUCUUGCUUCUUGUGUUUAACUUUUAAUGGCCUUAAACUAAUAUUUAAUUUAUUUUUUAUUUAAAAUUAUACAACAAUUAUAACGAAUCUUAAAAAUUGAUUUUACACUUAUAAAGAAAGUAAAUUAAACAUUCAUAAAAGGUUCUUAGAAUAAAGGGUACAAAAUAAAAUAAUAUAUAAAACAUAUACAAAUUGUGUAUAAGAAAUAAAAUUUUAUUCAAUUAUUUUGUGAUAAAAAUUAUUAUAUUUGUAUUUAACAUAUUAUUACACAAUUUAAAUCUGAAGAUAGCUUUUAAAUUUUAAUCAAAACUGGUAGUUACCAAUAAACAUAAUUACUACUUUCUACAAUCUGUGUUUUAUUUAUUUGAUGUAUUAUUUAUUUUAUUGUAUUACAAUAAAUUUAAAUAUUGUAUUACAACUAAAAACACUAAAAUUAAAUUGAAACUCUUUACUUUUUGACUAGUCUGCUUUGUGUUAAAAUUUAAAACUAAUCACCUUGUAUUCAUAAUUGUAAAAGUAUGAUAAAAUAAUUAAUAUAUUUUAUUUCAUUUUCAAUUGUAUUAUAAUCCUAGUAAUACAUUUACAUUCAAUAUAAAAUUAAAUUUAAAUAAUAAUAAUAAUAUGUUUGUAUGUUUUUUUUUUAGUUGUAUUAUUAAGUUUAUUGUUCACUUUUAAACUAAAUUAUCUAAAUCAAUUUUUUCCUUAAUCCCACUUUGUGGUCUGUUUCUAUAUAUAAUUUGACACUUCGGUAAUACUGUCUACCUGUGAAGUGUUAGCUAUUUAUAAUCUUCUACCACAUAUUUUGUGCUAUCUAAUGUAUAAGCAACUACUUUUACGAUUACUAUCAUAAUCCUUAUUGAUGAUUAUUUAAUAAUAUGAUCUAUAGCUACAAGUAAGCUAUUUUUUUCCUGAAAAAAUCCAUCAAGAUAACACACUCAAUGGAAAUAUUGGUCGAACUGUUGAUGUGUUUUGAGUAUAAUUUUGAGGAUUCCUAAGGCUCUUCUAACCACAUUUUGGGAAAUGCUGCUAUAUACCUAAGCUAAUAACUCAAUCUUGGUUCUACCGUUCAAUAGAAUGCAAAUUUGCUAUAUUGUGUGUGGAUCAGAGAGAGAAAACAAAUGAUAUGCUGAAAUCAAUAUACAUUCAGAUAAUGUAAUGUUAUAUAUAAUGAAUAUAGACAUUGUAUUAAUAAUUACUUAAGUGAUAUAAUAUGUAUAUUGUAAAAGUCUAAAUAAUAAGAAAAAGUUGGUUGAUGACAAA